ensembl:lncRNA
AUGGAAAUACUUGUUCCUCAUGUGCAGAUCAGGAAGCUGGAGUCAAGUAUUUCUCCUGUUGGACAAAUGCCUCUGGAAUUCCACAAACUGCUUGGCAUAUCUGACAGAGCAGGCAGAAGAAUCCCAGCCUUCAUUUCCUGUCCAGUCUGCCUGCAUGGAGCAUGGCUUUGGAGACACUGCUCCCUGCUUCAGUUGUUCAAGAGUCUAAUGGAGAGUCCUGCCCUUUUGAAUGGGAAUUUUGCCAGCUGCAUUAACUGGGACAAGAUUAUUGACUGUCUGAGGCAAAGCUUAGAAGAUAAUUGUUGUGUUUAACUGCUAAUUCUUUAGCAUUAUCCCAGUAACUUGUUGAUGCAUCCAAGAGUUGCUUGAUGUCUAUAUAUACACACACCCACACAUGUGCACUCGCCUGCCUUUGGGAAUACCCUCACCCUUGUUAAUAUGAGUACAAAGCUUCACUGGGCUUUCUUAUUUGUAAACAGAAAAUGUUUGGUCUUAUGUCCUGAUAAAGGGAGAUACUACAAACACAGUGUGGAGCUGUCUUUGUGUCUAUGUUCAUCUCAGAAACUCAGCAGCUCACCCUUGCAUGCGGACUGCCAUGGCUCAAGAUGCUGAAGAUGCAGAAACAGCAAAGGGAAAAAGUAACGCUGCACAUUGCUAACCCCCUGCUGCAGGGAUGGCUCACCCGUUUGGAGAGCUGUGCACAGCCCAUGACAUCCCUCACUCGGUAGGAUCUCUGUGAUCUGAGAAUUGGUACCUGCCACCCGAUGUGUCUCCUGCUGCUAGACAGGUCUAUGAAGUAAUGGAGCCUGGCUGUCUGCAGUCAGCACUGCUGUACUACAUCCAAAGCAAGCUUGCCAGUCAGCAAAUGCUGCAUUAAUCUUUCAGGGAGUGUUUGUUUUGCUUGUUUUGCUAGGCUGAGUUUCAAGCAACUGAUAAUGUGCUCAUGAGCAGUUCUCCUGUUGCAGCCCAUUUUUCAAAAAGAAGUGUGAAGGCUGAAGCUCCCUAGGUUGGGUGGAACACGGGUUGGAAGGGUUAUAAAUGGUCUUGCUUCACUGUGUGAGCUCACAGCGCUUUUGAGUGCAUGUUAAUACAUCUGCAGGUACAUUUGGGCCAGUGGAGCUGUGGCUCUUUGAAGUCUGAUGAGUGUUAUAAGAACAGACUUUGGACUUGGUUCUUCUCCGUUAAUGUUAACUCUGCUUGUGGAGUUAUCUCACUGCAAAUAAGAUGCACUUUUGUGUGCUGAGUCAAACCUUCUGACUGCUGAAGGAGAAACUCUGAAGGCUUCUGAGGGUUAGAUAAGACAAACAUUUUACAGGUCACAGGAUUUUAAGUGUUGAAAUGCCUGGAAUUUCAGGAGGUAAAUGACAGUGUGCCUGGCUUGUCCCCACUUGUCCCUGCAGUGUUGCUGCUCUGUCCAGCUGCAGCACUGAACUUACAGCUCUCACUUCAAGGCCCAUCCUUUCAAGUCUUUUUGCAUUUAGCUCCUCUAAGCAAAAAAGAAUUUAGACACACAAAUAACUUUUAGAAUGUGGAAAAUUCACAUUUUGUAUGUAUUUUGAUUCUUGUAUGUGCAGAACCUUUAAAUACAAGGCACUUUUCUGGAUUUCUCUCUGUGGUUUUUUAUUUUAAGACACUCUGUGCUCUUCGAUGACUUGAAAAAUAAAAAUCUCGCAACAUUUCCA